rnacentral:rRNA from 1 species
GAUGAACGCUAGCUACAGGCCUAACACAUGCAAGUCGAGGGGCAUCGGGAGGGAAGCUUGCUUCCCUUGCCGGCGACCGGCGCACGGGUGAGUAACGCGUAUCGAACCUGCCCCAUACCCGGGGAUAGCCUUGCGAAAGUAAGACUAAUACCCGAUGGUUUCCUUUUAUCUCCUGAUAGAGGGAAUAAAGAAUUUCGGUAUGGGAUGGCGAUGCGUCCGAUUAGCUAGUUGGCGGGGGUAACGGCCCACCAAGGCGACGAUCGGUAGGGGUUCUGAGAGGAAGGUCCUCCACAUUGGAACUGAGACACGGUCCAAACUCCUACGGGAGGCAGCAGUGAGGAAUAUUGGUCAAUGGGCGAAAGCCUGAACCAGCCAAGUAGCGUGCAGGAUGACGGCCCUACGGGUUGUAAACUGCUUUUAAGGCGGGGUAAAGGAGCGGACGCGUUCCGCUUUUGC